UACGUAGGGGGCAAGCGUUAUCCGGAUUUACUGGGUGUAAAGGGAGCGUAGACGGCGGCGCAAGUCUGGAGUGAAAGCCCGUGGCCCAACCACGGGACUGCUCUGGAAACUGCGCGGCUGGAGUGCGGGAGGGGCAGGCGGAAUUCCUAGUGUAGCGGUGAAAUGCGUAGGGAUUAGGAAGAACACCAGUGGCGAAGGCGAUUCUCUGGACUGUAACUGACGCUGAGGCUCGAAAGCGUGGGGAGCAAACAGG
rnacentral:rRNA from 1 species